GAAAGAUGGUUCUGCUAUCACCCUUGGAUGGACCUGCGGUGCAUUAGCUAGUUGGUAAGGUAACGGCUUACCAAGGCAAUGAUGCAUAGCCGAGUUGAGAGACUGAUCGGCCACAUUGGGACUGAGACACGGCCCAAACUCCUACGGGAGGCAGCAGUAGGGAAUCUUCCACAAUGGACGAAAGUCUGAUGGAGCAACGCCGCGUGAGUGAGGAAGGGUUUCGGCUCGUAAAGCUCUGUUGGUAGUGAAGAAAGAUAGAGGUAGUAACUGGCCUUUAUUGACGGUAAUUACUUAGAAAGUCACGGCUAACUACGUGCCAGCAGCCGCGGUAAUACGUAGGUGGCAAGCGUUGUCCGGAUUUAUUGGGCGUAAAGCGAGUGCAGGCGGUUCAAUAAGUCUGAUGUGAAAGCCUUCGGCUCAACCGGAGAAUUGCAUCAGAAACUGUUGAACUUGAGUGCAGAAGAGGAGAGUGGAACUCCAUGUGUAGCGGUGGAAUGCGUAGAUAUAUGGAAGAACACCAGUGGCGAAGGCGGCUCUCUGGUCUGCAACUGACGCUGAGGCUCGAAAGCAUGGGUAGCGAACAGGAUUAGAUACCCUGGUAGUCCAUGCCGUAAACGAUGAGUGCUAAGUGUUGGGAGGUUUCCGCCUCUCA
rnacentral:rRNA from 1 species